ACCGAAAUAGCUCAGUAGGGAGGGCGUUAGACUAUAGAUUGAAAACUCCCUAGUUCGAUUCCUGGUUCCGGCA
rnacentral:tRNA from 1 species